CCUACGGGUGGCAGCAGUGAGGAAUAUUGGUCAAUGGACGCAAGUCUGAACCAGCCAUGCCGCGUGAAGGAUGACGGCUCUAUGAGUUGUAAACUGCUUUUGUACGAGGGUAAACUGCGAUACGUGUAACUUGUUGAAUGUAUUGUAUGAAUAAGAAUAGGCUAACUCCGUGCCAGCAGCCGCGGUAAUACGGAGGGUCCGAGCGUUAUGCGGAUGUAUUGGGUUUAAAGGGAGCGUAGGUGGUUUGAUAAGUCAGUUGUGAAAUCUCGGGGCUCAACCCCAGAACUGCAUUUGAUACUGUUAGACUAGAGGAUAGUUGCGGUAGGCGGAAUGUAUGGUGUAGCGGUGAAAUGCUUAGAGAUCAUGCAGAACACCGAUUGCGAAGGCAGCUUACCAAACUAUCACUGACGUUGAGGCACGAAAGCGUGGGUAGCAAACAGGAUUAGAUACCCCUGUAGUC
rnacentral:rRNA from 1 species